ACAGAUUCAACCUCACUUGACAACCUUCGACUCCCCCAGCGGCCUUCCACUCACCGCCGGCGACCUUCGACUCCCCCGACAACAAAUCUACUUCACCCAGUCGGCGAUCUUCGAGUUGUUCCUCCGAACGCACAAAGAUCCUUUCCUCUCUACAGAGCUAGGUCUUCUUCGUGUUUUUUAGCCUUGCACCUUCUGCUUGUUUUUUCUCCUAACGCAAACAAUCGACUUCACCCGGUGUUAUUUGACUCCACCAGCGACAAAUCUACUUUAUCUGGCGGCCGCCGUUCAGGUUUUCUACAGCUCUAGCAAGAGAGACUAUUGGUAGGGUUGCUGCAGGAGCUAUUGCAAAGAAGAUUCUUAAGAUGUAUGCAAAG